rnacentral:rRNA from 1 species
UAAUACAGAGGGGGCAAGCGUUGUUCGGAAUUACUGGGCGUAAAGGGCGCGUAGGUGGCCUGUUAAGUCGAACGUGAAAUCCCCGGGCUCAACCCGGGAACUGCGUCCGAGACUGGUAGGCUCGAAUCCGGGAGAGGGAUGUGGAAUUCCAGGUGUAGCGGUGAAAUGCGUAGAUAUCUGGAGGAACACCGGUGGCGAAGGCGGCAUCCUGGACCGGUAUUGACGCUGAGGCGCGAAAGCCAGGGGAGCAAACGGG